GUAGCGAAAGUUACGCUAAUACCGCAUAUUCUGUGAGCAGGAAAGCAGGGGAUCGCAAGACCUUGCGCUGAUUGAGCGGCCGAUAUCAGAUUAGCUAGUUGGUGAGGUAAAGGCUCACCAAGGCGACGAUCUGUAGCGGGUCUGAGAGGAUGAUCCGCCACACUGGAACUGAGACACGGUCCAGACUCCUACGGGAGGCAGCAGUGGGGAAUUUUGGACAAUGGGGGCAACCCUGAUCCAGCCAUGCCGCGUGAGUGAAGAAGGCCUUCGGGUUGUAAAGCUCUUUCGGCCGGGAAGAAAUCGCAUGGGUUAAUACCCUGUGCGGAUGACGGUACCGGCAUAAGAAGCACCGGCUAACUACGUGCCAGCAGCCGCGGUAAUACGUAGGGUGCGAGCGUUAAUCGGAAUUACUGGGCGUAAAGCGUGCGCAGGCGUUUUUGUAAGACAGGCGUGAAAUCCCCGGGCUCAACCUGGGAACUGCGCUUGUGACUGCAAGGCUAGAGUACGGCAGAGGGGGGAGGAAUUCCACGUGUAGCAGUGAAAUGCGUAGAGAUGUGGAGGAACACCAAUGGCGAAGGCAGCCCCCUGGGUCGAUACUGACGCUCAUGCACGAAAGCGUGGGUAGCAAACAGGAUUAGAUACCCUGGUAGUCCACGCCCUAAACGAUGUCAACUAGGUGUUGGGUGGGUAAAACCAUUUAGUACCGGAGCUAACGCGUGAAGUUGACCGCCUGGGGAGUACGGCCGCUAGGUUAAAACUCAAAGGAAUUGACGGGGACCCGCACAAGCGGUGGAUGAUGUGGAUUAAUUCGAUGCAACGCGAAAAACCUUACCUACCCUUGACAUGUCCAGGAGCCUGAAGAGAUUUGGGUGUGCCCGAAAGGGAACUGGAACACAGGUGCUGCAUGGCUGUCGUCAGCUCGUGUCGCGAGAUGUUGGGUUAAGUCCCGCAACGAGCGCAACCCUUGUCGUUAAUUGCCAUCAUUUAGUUGGGCACUUUAACGAGACUGCCGGUGACAAACCGGAGGAAGGUGGGGAUGACGUCAAGUCCUCAUGGCCCUUAUGGGUAGGGCUUCACACGUCAUAAAUGGUCGGUACAAAGGGUCGCCAACCCGCGAGGGGGAGCCAAUCCCAGAAAGCCGAUCGUAGUCCGGAUCGUAGGCUGCAACUCGCCUGCGUGAAGUCGGAAUCGCUAGUAAUCGUGGAUCAGCAUGUCACGGUGAAUACGUUCCCGGGUCUUGUACACACCGCCCGUCACACCAUGGGAGCGGGUUCCGCCAGAAGUAGGUAGCCUAACCGCAAGGGGGGCGCUUACCACGGCGGGGUUCGUGACUGGGGUGAAGUCGGAACAAGGUA
rnacentral:rRNA from 1 species